rnacentral:rRNA from 1 species
AGAGUUUGAUCAUGGCUCAGAUUGAACGCUGGCGGCAGGCCUAACACAUGCAAGUCGAGCGGAUGAAGGGAGCUUGCUCCUGGAUUCAGCGGCGGACGGGUGAGUAAUGCCUAGGAAUCUGCCUGGUAGUGGGGGAUAACGUCCGGAAACGGGCGCUAAUACCGCAUACGUCCUGAAGGAGAAAGUGGGGGAUCUUCGGACCUCACGCUAUCAGAUGAGCCUAGGUCGGAUUAGCUAGUUGGUGGGGUAAAGGCCUACCAAGGCGACGAUCCGUAACUGGUCUGAGAGGAUGAUCAGUCACACUGGAACUGAGACACGGUCCAGACUCCUACGGGAGGCAGCAGUGGGGAAUAUUGGACAAUGGGCGAAAGCCUGAUCCAGCCAUGCCGCGUGUGUGAAGAAGGUCUUCGGAUUGUAAAGCACUUUAAGUUGGGAGGAAGGGCAGUAAGUUAAUACCUUGCUGUUUUGACGUUACCAACAGAAUAAGCACCGGCUAACUUCGUGCCAGCAGCCGCGGUAAUACGAAGGGUGCGAGCGUUAAUCGGAAUUACUGGGCGUAAAGCGCGCGUAGGUGGUUCAGCAAGUUGGAUGUGAAAUCCCCGGGCUCGACCUGGGAACUGCAUCCAAAACUACUGAGCUAGAGUACGGUAGAGGGUGGUGGAAUUUCCUGUGCAGCGGUGAAAUGCGUAGAUAUAGGAAGGAACACCAGUGGCGAAGGCGACCACCUGGACUGAUACUGACACUGAGGUGCGAAAGCGUGGGGAGCAAACGGGAUUAGAUACCCUGGUAGUCCACGCCGUAAACGAUGUCGACUAGCCGUUGGGAUCCUUGAGAUCUUAGUGGCGCAGCUAACGCGAUAAGUCGACCGCCUGGGGAGUACGGCCGCAAGGUUAAAACUCAAAUGAAUUGACGGGGGCCCGCACAAGCGGUGGAGCAUGUGGUUUAAUUCGAAGCAACGCGAAGAACCUUACCUGGCCUUGACAUGCUGAGAACUUUCCAGAGAUGGAUUGGUGCCUUCGGGAACUCAGACACAGGUGCUGCAUGGCUGUCGUCAGCUCGUGUCGUGAGAUGUUGGGUUAAGUCCCGUAACGAGCGCAACCCUUGUCCUUAGUUACCAGCACCUCGGGUGGGCACUCUAAGGAGACUGCCGGUGACAAACCGGAGGAAGGUGGGGAUGACGUCAAGUCAUCAUGGCCCCUUACGGCCAGGGCUACACACGUGCUACAAUGGUCGGUACAAAGGGUUGCCAAGCCGCGAGGUGGAGCUAAUCCCAUAAAACCGAUCGUAGUCCGGAUCGCAGUCUGCAACUCGACUGCGUGAAGUCGGAAUCGCUAGUAAUCGUGAAUCAGAAUGUCACGGUGAAUACGUUCCCGGGCCUUGUACACACCGCCCGUCACACCACGGGAGUGGGUUGCUCCAGAAGUAGCUAGUCUAACCGCAGGGGGGACGGUUACCACGGAGUGAUUCAUGACUGGGGUGAAGUCGAAACAAGGUAGCCGUAGGGGAACCUGCGGCUG